GACGGGACCGCACAAGCGGUGGAUGAUGUGGUUAAUUCGAUGCAACGCGAAAACCUUACCCACCUUGACAUGUACGGAAUCCUUAGAGAUAGAGGAGUGCUCGAAAGAGAGCCGUAACACAGGUGCUGCAUGGCUGUCGUCAGCUCGUGUCGUGAGAUGUUGGGUUAAGUCCCGCAACGAGCGCAACCCUUGCCAUUAGUUGCUACGAAAGGGCACUCUAAUGGGACUGCCGGUGACAAACCGGAGGAAGGUGGGGAUGACGUCAAGUCCUCAUGGCCCUUAUGGGUAGGGCUUCACACGUCAUACAAUGGUCGGUACAGAGGGUUGCCAAGCCGCGAGGCGGAGCCAAUCCCACAAAGCCGAUCGUAGUCCGGAUUGUUCUCUGCAACUCGAGAGCAUGAAGUCGGAAUCGCUAGUAAUCGCAGGUCAGCAUACUGCGGUCGAAUACGUUCCCGGGCCUU
rnacentral:rRNA from 1 species